UUUACCACUGGACCACCAGGGAAGUUCCCUUACUGUAGUUUUGUUUAGCAUUUCCCUAAUGAUUAAUUAUCAUGUCUUCCUGGCCAUUUGUAUAUUCUUUGUAAAAAUCUCUAUGUUUACCCCUUUAAAAUUUUUCUUAUUGGUGAGUUUUAGCAGUUCUUUAUAUAAUCUGGAUACUGACCACUUAUCAAAUAUAUGAUUUGCAAAUGCUUUUCUUCCAUUCAGUAGCUUGCCAGUUCACUCUGUUGAUUGUGUCCUUUGCACAGAAGUUUGUACCCUUAUUUUUGCUUUUGUUUCCUAUGCUUUUCAUGUCAAUGCCAAGAAGUUAUAAAUCCAAUGUCAUGAAGCUUUCCCCCUAUGUCUUCAUCUAAGAGUUUUUGAGCUUACAUCGUACUGUCAGGUCUUUGUUUAUUUUGAGUUCAUUUUUGGGUGUGGUGUAAGGUAAGGGUCCAACUUCAUUCAUUUGAAUGCAGAUAUCCACUGUAAUUUGUUGGAGAGACUGUCCUCCUCCCAUUGAAUUGCGUUGGCACUCUUGUUGAUUAUUUGAUCAAAUAUACUGGCUUCCAGUUUGGGGCACUCUGUUCUGUUUCAUUGGCCUAAAGUUUUGUGUUUAUGGCAGUACCAGUGUUUUGUUUUUGCUUUUUAAAAAUUUUUAUUACAAUGUAGUUAAUUUACAAUGUUGUGUUAGUUUCAGGUGUACAGCAAAGUGAAUCAGUUAUUCGUAUACAUAUAUCCACUCUUUUUUAGAUUCUUUUCCCAUAUAGACAAUUACAGAGUUUUGAGUAGAGUUCCCUGUGUUAGACAGUAGCUCCUUAUUAGUUAUAUUUCAGUUUUGAGUCCCUGGCUUGAUGUUAGUCAUUUCCUCUUUUAGAGCAGCAGCUGAUUAAGACCACAACCAAUCACUGUCUAUAUCAGGCACUCACACUCUGGACACCAUCCCUUAUGUCCCAGGGCCAGGAAACCAGGCAACUGGAGACAGCCUGUAUGCCCCUGACCCCAUGAAAUUAUUCCAGCUAGGUCAUCCAUGGGGAACCUGGGAAACCUAGGUAGCCCCAGACCACCUGCUAUGUAUAGGGUGCUCCCUACAACCCCAGGUUACUUACUGUGUCCCUGUACAGCCUGUUGUGUGCCCUGCCUGAUGCCCUUGUCUCAUCCUAAGCCCUAGGUAACAGAAUUCUUCUUUUUAUCUACCCAAGUGUCAUCAAGAACUUUUAAAUCUUACAAAACAACUACAAACCCAGAAGAGUGUUAGGAAUGCAGUGAAUGUUGAAAGUUAUUCAGCUAUUAGCCUAAACUCAAACAGCACUGGUAAAUUUAAAUCGGAGAAACAUCUUCGGAGUGCAGGCAACAUGCUGUUUCCUUGUUCUACGUAAUUACAGAGCGACAUUUGGAGAUUAGUCUUUGUGAAAGAGAACUCAGCCAUAAAUUGAACUUCAUGCCUCCAGACAUCCCAGGAAGAUUCUCUUAAGUACCAAGUAUAUUGGAAGCUUUCAUGAUAACACCUUGCACUUCCGGACCUGCCUGGAGUCCUUGCCAGAAAUAAGUUGUUACCAGUAUCUGUUAUGUUAGCCUUCCCUCCUCUGCCACACGGCAGGGUGCCGCACUGUGUAUGAAUCAUCCUUACAGUGCUUGGGAGGCAGGAAGCUACACUUUCUUCCUUCAUCUGGAGGACUUACCCGUCUCUUGACUUUUGGGGUAUCUCAUUCACUUCCCACUGAUUGUUUUGGGUGGGAUAUUACCCAGUUCUGGACAAGAGGACUCCAGCUGGCUUCUGCAGGCAGCUUGUGGAGAUUUCCCUUCUUCUGAGCUCGGGCCCUCCGGCUUCUCCUCGGCCAGUUUGCGAAACAAUGUCUCACGCCCUCGAGAAGCGCAGAGACAGUUGCAGUUCAGCACAUAGAAAAUUAGAAACGCCCGUCUACUCAGGAGUAAAGACUUCAAGAAACACCAGGAAGAGGAAAGACUUAGGACUCACCUGGGAUGACAACACAGCUACAUGAUCAUCCUCACCCCUCUGGUUACUAAUAAAAAGACAUUUUAAUCAAAGAAGACAAUACACCUGGCAAAGAACACAGGAAUGUUCAACAUCAUGAAUCACUAGAGAAAUGCAUCAGACCACAGUGAGUAGAACUCUGGCAAACCACAACCCCAUCCUUGACUCCUUGUCUCAUGGGAGGGAUUCUGUAGUAGUAGUGAUGAAGACUGUCCCACAGAGAGCCCUGCACUCUACCCCAGAAGGCCUUGGACAACGAUGCAAAAUGGGCCAGAACUGGAGUGAAAACUAUUCUCUGCCAUGAUACUACCCCCAGUGAGGUAUACUAAGUUUGGAACACCCACAAAACCUGUUCCUGUGUCCUGUCUGUCCUAGCCAGUUGAUGGAAGAGAAUGACAAAACCCACCUGCUCAGGGAAUCCAUGCUUUUCUACAGGGGAUACGAGAGCACAAAAGGCUACCUACCCUGAUCACACUUAGAUGACUGAGUCCCAGUAUGGGGAUCUGCCACUUGGAAAAGGAAGUUCUGAUAAAGAGGUGCUGCCUCUGAAAGCUAACUGGGAGAAUCUGGGAGGGUCUGAAAGGAGGAGGGAAGAGAUGAUAUGUCCUGCCUACCUCCCAGAAUCCCCCUCACGCUGGAAUCCACCUUGGCUGAGAGGUGAGUGCACCACCAGGAAGGACCCUGAGUCAGAACAACUGGCCAUAGACAACCCGGAAACUAACCCUAUUACCAUAAAAGCUGAGAUUGCGAGCAUCAUGGCAGAGCAAUUCUCCUGGGUUCCCUACUGUGUUGCUCUUCGCCUAGGCACCCCUUUCCAAUAAAGUCUCUUGCUUUGUCAGCA